rnacentral:rRNA from 1 species
AGAGUUUGAUCAUGGCUCAGGACGAACGCUUGCGACGUGCCUGAGAAAUGCAAGUCGAGCGGUUCACGGUCUUUCGGGACUGUGGAUAGCGGCGAACGGUCGAGUAACACGUAACCAACCUGCCCUUGGGUUAGGGAUAGCCCCCCGAAAGGGGGAGUAAUACCCAAUGGUCUCUGUUUCACGCUUGUGGGAGAGAGUAAAGCCGAAAGGCGCCGAAGGAAGGGGUUGCGGCCUAUCAGCUGGUUGGCGGGGUAAUGGCCCACCAAGGCGACGACGGGUAGCUGGUCUGAGAGGAUGGUCAGCCGGACUGGGACUGAGACACGGCCCAGACUCCUACGGGGGGCAGCAAUCAGGAAUCUUGCGCAAUGGGGGAAACCCUGACGCAGCGACGUCGCGUGGAGGAUGACGGCCUUCGGGUUGUAAACUCCUUUUAUGAGGGACGAGUAAAGGACGGUACCUCAUGAAUAAGCCCCGGCUAACUCCGUGCCAGCAGCCGCGGUAAUACGGAGGGGGCGAGCGUUGUCCGAAUUUAUUGGGCGUAAAGCGCGUGUAGGCGGACCGUCAAGCCUGGGGUGAAAGGUUUGGGCUCAACCCGAACAGUGCCCUGGGGACUGGUGGUCUGGAGGGAGGCAGAGGAGUGUGGAAUUCCUGGUGUAGCGGUGGAAUGCGUAGAGAUCAGGAAGAACACCCAUGGCGAAGGCAGCACUCUGGGCCUCACCUGACGCUGAGACGCGAAAGCGCGGGGAGCGAACAGGAUUAGAUACCCUGGUAGUCCGCGCCGUAAACGAUGGAUGCUCGGUGUCGGGGGUAUCGACCCCCCUCGGCGCCCAAGGUAACCCGGUAAGCAUCCCGCCUGGGGAGUACGGCCGCAAGGGUUGAAACUCAAAGGAAUUGACGG